CGAGGAAUCACAUCCUAUCGCGAUGUAUCUUUCGAGAACGGUGUUCGGAGGCAUCACGCUCUGCCUAAGUGAGGAUGUGUGUUAUUUAUGCUCUUCCAGGACACACUUGGGGCUCGAAAAUGAUGCAAUUUUGCGUACAAAGCUAUUGCGUCCGGUCUGUGCGCGGAUACGUGUUAAGUACGCGUGUACACAAUCGACGUGAUAUAACAGCCUUGGACACAAUGUAUCUCUCACGGGAAGCUCGAAAAUGGUGUAACCUCUUGUGUUAAGAAUAUUAUGUCCGACCUAUAAAUGUGUGUGUGUAGACGCGAAGACGCUUCGUCCACUCUAAUCUCGCCGAGAUUAUUGGCCAUGCGAGAUCGGCCGGCCGUACUCGGAAGAUUCUCUCUCUCUCUCUUUCUGCGUUCGGGGGCGACGUCGACCCGAGCGCGCUCGAUAGAG